CGAGAACAGAUCCGACAAGUCCAGAAGCUUGCCAAGCGAAGCUCGUCGGAACUUGCCAAGUGGAUCGUCGCAAAGUCCAGGAGUUUACCGGAAGUCCGCAGGAGCAUCACCGAGGGUUCAUCGGAUGAUCGACGGAAGUUCGCCGGAAACUCGCCGGAAGAAGCGAUUGACGCACCGAAGCAAAGCUGCAGAAGUUGUCUUAGAUUUAAUCGUAGUUAGCACGUUGAUUAAGUUGGAAAAUGGGAGGUGAUCCCAUUGGCUUAAUCUUGGGGCAAUUGGGCCCCUGAAAGA
rnacentral:lncRNA from 1 species